GCCGGGCAUGGUGGUGCAUGCCUGUAGUCCCAGCUACUUGGGAGGCUGAGCGGAGAGGAUUGCUUGAGCCCAGGAGUUCAAGGCUGCAGUGAGUUGUGAUCAUGCCACUGCACUCCAGCUUGGAUGACAGAGCAAGACCCUCUCUCUU
rnacentral:SRP_RNA from 1 species